GAAGGCAAAAUUAAGUAUCUUAAUACAAAUAUAUAAUGUGUUGUCUACUAUAAUCAAUCACAUGUUUUUUUUUUUUGAGAUGGAGUCUCGCGCUGUUGCCCAGACUGGAGUGUGGUGAAGUGAUCUUGGCUCACUGAAACCUCCGCCUCCCGAAUUUAAGUGAUUCUCCUGCCUUAGCCUCCCAAGUAGCUGGGAUUAAAGAUGACCACCACCAGACCUGGCUAAUUUUUUUGUAUUUUUAAUAAAGACAAGGUUUCACCAUGUCGGUCAGGCUGGUCUUGAACUCCUUACCUCAGAAAAAAAAGUACAGUAUUCCUGGUCAGGGGACGAAAGGUGCAAUAAAUGGAAUAUGGCAAGGUAAUGAAUGUAUGUUCCUGAAAUUCUGUCAUUGUACCGUCCUUCUAAGUUAAAAAACAAAAAAACAAAACAAAAAAAAAACCCUGAAGAACACUCUUAGACUAUGCUUUGUGGCCAUGAUUUUAACCAAGAUCUCCAGAGGAGAGUACAAAUUAAUCUGCUGGCAUUAGGUAAGAGCUUGGGACAUUGUCACAGAGGAGAAGGCCUCAUGACUUACCCUGAAGCCCAAGAAAGAUGAGUGGGCUUCUCUCUGUAUCUCUGCUACUGGGUAAUACUUUACCAACUGGUUUUUAUCUUAGGAAGACAUUGCUAUAGCACCAGUUUGCUACUGGUUUGGUAUUGCCCAAAUCAUCCCAUAACUUGUGUUAACAGCUGAUGAAAGUAUACAAGAUAAAUUAUAAUUAAAGAAAAAUUAUACUGAAUCAAUUCAUUGAAGAAGUAUGAGUAAAUGGAGGUAGGAAGAUGCAGCUAAAAAUACAAAAUUAGUGGCUCCUAUUGAAUUAUAACCAGUAGAAAGAACAGAAAAAAAACCACUUAGAAAAAUAUAAUAAAAAAUUUCCAAUGACAUAAAAUUACAGUGCAAAAAUGUUCCCUGAAUUGAAAAGAAAAUAAAAACGCACUUUUUAAAUAAAUAGAUUAACUAAAAAAUAGACUGUCACUGUUAAACUGAAUUGAUGUUCCUAAAGGUCAGGUGGAAGUACCAUCUGACAAUAACAAGAGUGUAACUUCCGAGACAGCUGAUAUACGUCUACAUACAUUUCUCUACUUUGAGCACCUAAAACAGCACCCAGCCAAUAAUAUAAGGGACUUAGCGAAUGCUUGUUAAUGAAGACAUAAUUAACACAUAAUGACUUCAAGGUUAAGAAUAAAAGAUUAGUGAAAACAUAUUUAAAGAGACC
rnacentral:lncRNA from 1 species